rnacentral:rRNA from 1 species
CGGGACGGGGUGGAGUAAUGUCUGGGAAACGUGCCUGAUGGAGGGGGGAGAAUACUGGAAACGGGAGCUAAUACCGCAUAACGUCGCAAGACCAAAGAAGGGGGGACCGUUCGGGCCUCUUGCCAUCGGAUGUGCCCAGAUGGGAUUAGCUAGUAGGUGGGGUAACGGCUCACCUAGGCGACGAUCCCUAGCUGGUCUGAGAGGAUGACCAGCCACACUGGAACUGAGACACGGUCCAG